CCUACGGGAGGCAGCAGUCGAGAAUCAUUCACAAUGGGGGAAACCUUGAUGGUGCGACGCCGCGUGGGGGAAUGAAGGUCUUCGGAUUGUAAACCCCUGUCAUGUGGGAGCAAAUUAAAAAGAUAGUACCACAAGAGGAAGAGACGGCUAACUCUGUGCCAGCAGCCGCGGUAAUAACGAGGUCUCAAGCGGUGUUCGGAAUCACUGGGCGUAAAGUGGGCGUAGGCUGUUUCGUAAGUCGUGUGUGAAAGGCGCGGGCUCAACCCGCGGACGGCACAUGAUACUGCGGGACUAGAGUAAUGGAGGGGGAACCGGAAUUCGCGGUGUAGCAGUGAAAUGCGUAGAUAUCGAGAGGAACACUCGUGGCGAAGGCGGGUUCCUGGACAUUAACUGACGCUGAGGCACGAAGGCCAGGGGAGCGAAAGGGAUUAGAUACCCGUGUAGUC
rnacentral:rRNA from 1 species